rnacentral:misc_RNA from 1 species
CACCUCUCAAGCCUGGCUUGCUGUUGGACUCUAGGUCUCGCUCAAGCGAUGACCGGUCUUAAAGAUAAUGACGGCGUCUGUGAGGACCCCUGUACACUGAGCUUUUAUAGCACGUACUAGGCGGGAGUCCAGGCCCGGUCUUACCCAUUUUUACUUAAAAGGUUGACCUCGGAUCAGGUAGGAAUACCCGCUGAACUUAA